GUGGGGAAUUUUGCGCAAUGGGGGAAACCCUGACGCAGCGACGCCGCGUGGAGGACGAAGGCCUUCGGGUUGUAAACUCCUUUUAUGAGGGAAGAUAGUGACGGUACCUCAUGAAUAAGCCACGGCUAACUCUGUGCCAGCAGCCGCGGUAAGACAGAGGUGGCAAGCGUUGUUCGGAAUUACUGGGCUUAAAGGGCGCGUAGGCGGUACGGUAAGUCUGAAGUGGAAUCCCGGGGCUCAACCCCGGAAUUGCUUUGGAAACUGCCGCACUUGAGUCAGUGAGGGGAGGGCGGAAUUCCUGGUGUAGCAGUGAAAUGCGUAGAUAUCAGGAGGAAGGCCGGUGGCGAAGGCGGCCCUCUGGCACUUGACUGACGCUGAGGCGCGAAAGCGUGGGGAGCAAACAGGAUUAGAUACCCUAGUAGUCC
rnacentral:rRNA from 1 species